rnacentral:rRNA from 1 species
AGAGUUUGAUCCUGGCUCAGGAUGAACGCUGGCGGCGUGCCUAAUACAUGCAAGUCGAGCGAACCACUUCGGUGGGAAGCGGCGAACGGGUGAGUAACACGUAGGUGAUCUGCCCAUCAGACGGGGACAACGAUUGGAAACGAUCGCUAAUACCGGAUAGGACGAAAGUUUAAAGAUGCUCCUGGCAUCACUGAUGGAUGAGCCUGCGGCGCAUUAGCUAGUUGGUGGGGUAAAGGCCUACCAAGGCGACGAUGCGUAGCCGACCUGAGAGGGUGAACGGCCACACUGGGACUGAGACACGGCCCAGACUCCUACGGGAGGCAGCAGUAGGGAAUCUUCGGCAAUGGGCGAAAGCCUGACCGAGCAACGCCGCGUGAAUGAAGAAGGCCUUCGGGUUGUAAAAUUCUGUUAUAAGGGAAGAAAGGUGAUAGGAGGAAAUGACUAUCAAUUGACGGUACCUUAUGAGAAAGCCACGGCUAACUACGU